rnacentral:rRNA from 1 species
UAUACAACUUUCAGCAACGGAUCUCUUGGCUCUCGCAUCGAUGAAGAACGCAGCGAAAUGCGAUAAGUAAUGUGAAUUGCAGAAUUCAGUGAAUCAUCGAAUCUUUGAACGCACCUUGCGCYCCUUGGUAUUCCGAGGAGCAUGCCUGUUUGAGUGUCAUUAAAUUCUCAAC